CACACGACUCUCGGCAACGGAUAUCUUGGCUCUCGCAUCGAUGAAGAACGUAGCGAAAUGCGAUACCUGGUGUGAAUUGCAGAAUCCCGCGAACCAUCGAGUCUUUGAACGCAAGUUGCGCCCAAGGCCUCUUGGCUGAGGGCACGCCUGCCUGGGCGUCACGC
rnacentral:rRNA from 1 species